rnacentral:lncRNA from 1 species
UGGACAUCAUUACCCUAGGUACAUGUAUGAAUACACAAAUGGUGUGAUUCUAUUUUGUGUACAACCAGAGAAAUGAAAAAUUGUGCAAUUGUGCACCAUUUGUGUACUAAGAAUCAAAAUGCAUUUUGUUGUCAUGUAUAACGAGUUAGAAAAAAUAAAUUUAAAAAAGAUAAAAAUCACACAGAAUAUAUAUCUGCUCUUUUACUGGAAAGGGUUUACAACCUUUAGUCAUUUGUUUCAUGAGAAGUUGCUCAUAUGAAGGCAUUGGUGUCUUGAUGAUAUUCCUGUACUGGAGAACUAUAAUUAGAAUUCCCAUAAAUUUAGAAAGAGCUUUCCUUUAUUCAGCCAAUAUUUGAUUUUUAGUUGAUAGCAUAUGUGUAGAGUUAUGCAUCUGAAAGAACUUUAUAAAUUCAGUAUGCAUGCUUUUGGCAGGCAAAAUUAUUUUAAAAUAUAGUACUAAUAGAAAAUUCC